UACAGAGGGGGCAAGCGUUGUUCGGAAUUACUGGGCGUAAAGGGCGCGUAGGCGGCCUUCUAAGUCGAACGUGAAAUCCCCGGGCUCAACCCGGGAACUGCGUCCGAGACUGAAAGGCUCGAAUCCGGGAGAGGGAUGUGGAAUUCCAGGUGUAGCGGUGAAAUGCGCAGAUAUCAGGAGGAACACCUAUGGCGAAGGCAGCUCGCUGGGACGUUACUGACGCUGAGACGCGAAAGCGUGGGGAGCAAACAAG
rnacentral:rRNA from 1 species